AUCCAAUUGACGAGUCCUAAAUAGGACGAAAUGCGCAUCCUGGAU
rnacentral:hammerhead_ribozyme from 1 species